rnacentral:piRNA from 1 species
UAAACACCACAAGAGAUUCUUCAGUUG